rnacentral:rRNA from 1 species
GACGUAGGGCGCGAGCGUUGUCCGGAUUUAUUGGGCGUAAAGAGCUCGUAGGCGGCUUGUCGCGUCGUGUGUGAAAUCUCAGGGCUCAACUCUGACAUUGCAUACGAUACGGGCAGGCUUGAGUUCGGUAGGGGAGACUGGAAUUCCUGGUGUAGCGGUGAAAUGCGCAGAUAUCAGGAGGAACACCGGUGGCGAAGGCGGGUCUCUGGGCCGAUACUGACGUGAGGAGCGAAAGCGUGGGGAGCGAACAGG